UUGAAGCCUAGCGAUAUGUAAGUUAGUGGCGGACGGGUGAGUAACGCGUGGGUAACCUGCCUUGUACUGGGGGACAACAGUUGGAAACGACUGCUAAUACCGCAUAAGCGCACAGCUUCGCAUGAAGCAGUGUGAAAAACUCCGGUGGUACAAGAUGGACCCGCGUCUGAUUAGCUGGUUGGUGAGGUAACGGCCCACCAAGGCGACGAUCAGUAGCCGGACUGAGAGGUUGAUCGGCCACAUUGGGACUGAGACACGGCCCAGACUCC
rnacentral:rRNA from 1 species